GUAUAAGAGACAGCAGUCGCCACGGUAAUACGUAGGGUGCAAGCGUUAAUCGGAAUUACUGGGCGUAAAGCGUGCGCAGGCGGUCAUAUAUGUCAGAUGUGAAAUCCCCGGGCUCAACCUGGGAACUGCAUUUGAGACUGUAUGGCUAGAGUGUGUCAGAGGGGGGUAGAAUUCCACGUGUAGCAGUGAAAUGCGUAGAUAUGUGGAGGAAUACCGAUGGCGAAGGCAGCCCCCUGGGAUAACACUGACGCUCAUGCACGAAAGCGUGGGGAGCAAACAGGAUUAGAUACCCGAGUAGUCCCUGUCUCUUAUAC
rnacentral:rRNA from 1 species